rnacentral:rRNA from 1 species
GACGAACGCUGGCGGCGUGCUUAACACAUGCAAGUCGAACGGAAAGGCCCUGCUUUUGUGGGGUGCUCGAGUGGCGAACGGGUGAGUAACACGUGAGUAACCUGCCCUUGACUUUGGGAUAACUUCAGGAAACUGGGGCUAAUACCGGAUAGGAGCUCCUGCUGCAUGGUGGGGGUUGGAAAGUGUCGGCGGUUGGGGAUGGACUCGCGGCUUAUCAGCUUGUUGGUGGGGUAGUGGCUUACCAAGGCUUUGACGGGUAGCCGGCCUGGGAGGGUGACCGGCCACAUUGGGACUGGGAUACGGCCCAGACUCCUACGGGAGGCAGCAGUGGGGAAUAUUGCACAAUGGGCGGAAGCCUGAUGCAGCAACGCCGCGUGCGGGAUGACGGCCUUCGGGUUGUAAACCGCUUUCGCCUGUGACGAAGCGUGAGUGACGGUAAUGGGUAAAGAAGCACCGGCUAACUACGUG